UGGGGAAUAUUGGACAAUGGGCGAAAGCCUGAUCCAGCAAUGCCGCGUGAGUGAUGAAGGCCUUAGGGUUGUAAAGCUCUUUUACCCGGGAUGAUAAUGACAGUACCGGGAGAAUAAGCUCCGGCUAACUUCGUGCCAGCAGCCGCGGUAAUACGAGGGGAGCUAGCGUUGUUCGGAAUUACUGGGCGUAAAGCGCGCGUAGGCGGUUUUUAAGUCAGAGGUGAAAGCCCGGGGCUCAACCCCGGAAUAGCCUUUGAAACUGGAAAACUAGAAUCUUGGAGAGGUCAGUGGAAUUCCGAGUGUAGAGGUGAAAUUCGUAGAUAUUCGGAAGAACACCAGUGGCGAAGGCGACUGACUGGACAAGUAUUGACGCUGAGGCGCGAAAAGCGUGGGGAGCAAACAGGAUUAGAUACCCUGGUAGUCCACGCCGUAAACGAUGAUAACUAGCUGUCCGGGCUCAUAGAGCUUGGGUGGCGCAGCUAAACGCAUUAAGUUAUCCGCCUGGGGAGUACGGUCGCAAGAUUAAAAACUUAAAAUGAAUUGACGGGGUCAUAGCUGUUUCCU
rnacentral:rRNA from 1 species